GGGGACUGUCCACCAUGUGGAGAGAUUUGUGGUAGGAGGCUUCCAUGUAAAAAUCACAAAUGCCCAGCACCAUGCCAUCGAGGUGCCUGUGCUCCUUGCCCUCUAAUGGUUACAAUCUCAUGUGCUUGUGGUGAGACACACUUUGAGGUUCCAUGUGGUAUUGAGAUGAAUCAAAAGCCUCCUAAGUGUCGAAAAUUGUGUGGUAUACCUCCUUUAUGCAGGCAUGGAUCAGACAGCAAGCCACACAGAUGCCACUAUGGAGCAUGCCCUCCUUGUCAGUUACUUUGUGAAGAAGAAUAUCCAUGUGGCCAUACAUGCAAAUUGAGAUGUCAUGGUCCAAGACCACCACCUAAUCCAGAAUUCACAUUGAAACCGAAGAAAAAGAAGCCAAAUCAUCAGAGUGAAUGUACUCCUGGGACUUCCUGCCCUCCUUGCCCAGAACUUGUUUGGAGGUCUUGCGUAGGCCAGCACCUCGGAGCAGAGAGGAUGAUGUUCUGCUCGAACAGGGCACUGUUUUCUUGUGAUAAUUUGUGUGGCAAUCCUCUGCCUUGUGGCAAUCACUAUUGUACGAAAACUUGUCAUGCUCUUAAGAGCCAGUCCCAAAAAUCAUUGGCUCAGCGCAGUGGUGAGCCUUGUGAAGAGUGCCAUCUUCCUUGUGAAAAGGAGAGGAAGCCCACUUGCCCACAUCCCUGUCCUCUUUCAUGUCAUCCUGGGGAGUGCCCCCCUUGCAAAGUGCUUGUGAAACGGGCUUGUCACUGUGGUUCUAUGGUCCAUGUUUUCGAGUGCAUAUACUACAACAGCUUGUCAGAAAAGGAGCAAAUGACUGUCCGCUCAUGUGGUGGAUCCUGUCACAGGAAGUUGCCCAAUUGUACACAUUUAUGCCCGGAGACCUGUCAUCCUGGUCAAUGCCCAUCAUCUGACAAAUGCAGCAAAAAGGUUACCGUUCGUUGUCAAUGCCAAACAUUGAAAAAAGAAUGGCUAUGUCAAGAUGUUCAAGCAGCCUAUCAAAAAGCAGGUCGGGACCCCAAAGAUGUAUCUAAAAAUCACUUUGGAAUUGGACUUCUUCCUUGUAAUUCAGAUUGCAAGAGUAAAGUAAAGGUUGUGGAUCAGGAAUUGCAUUUGCGCAAAUCCAAAGAUUUCGAGGAAAAGGAGCCUGAUACUGAGAAGAACACAUCAAAGCGUAGAAAACGACGAGAACGAGUACAAGAAACAAAGCAGAUUUCAAAACUUCAGAAAUAUGUUGCCACCAUGAAGUGGCUUCUUCUAGUAGUCAUCCUUGUAGUGACUCUGGUUGCAGCCGCGUAUUUUGGUUACAAGGGUCUCUUGUGGCUCUCUGAUUGGAUGAAUGAAGUAGAAGAACAAAGACUAAGGAGGAGAAGAUACCCACGAAUCUAAUAAUUCUGAAGCUGUAACUCGAGUCUUCAUAGAGUUAUUCAACAUACUCCAUAAAUUAAACAUUGAUAUGUAUUUACCCCUCACUAUUUUUUUUUCCGAUCAAAAUAAUGCUCGUCCACCAUGUCUGUCAUGAAGUGAGUAUGAAAGUGCAGGAAGUUUUUGAAUUUUUUUUUGUUCUUCAUUUUCAGUAGUCUCCCAGUAUUCUAUAUAUAUAUAUCAAGGCUUGUAUUUGAGGAGUAUGUUGAA
rnacentral:misc_RNA from 1 species